CAGCAGCCGCGGUAAUACGAAGGGUGCAAGCGUUAAUCGGAAUUACUGGGCGUAAAGCGUGCGUAGGCGGUGAGUUAAGUCUGCUGUGAAAUCCCCGGGCUUAACCUGGGAACUGCGCUUGUGACUGCACAGCUAGAGUAUGGCAGAGGGGGGUAGAAUUCCACGUGUAGCAGUGAAAUGCGUAGAGAUGUGGAGGAACACCGAUGGCGAAGGCAGCCCCCUGGGCCAAUACUGACGCUCAUGCACGAAAGCGUGGGGAGCAAACAGGAUUAGAUACCCCUGUAGUCCCUGUCUCUUAUAC
rnacentral:rRNA from 1 species